rnacentral:rRNA from 1 species
AACGAACGCUGGCGGCGUGGAUAAGACAUGCAAGUCGAACGAGGUUACUUCUGUAGCAAUACAGGAGUGGCUUAGUGGCGCAAGGGUGCGUAACACGUGGGCAACCUGCCCUGGGGUGUGGGAUAGCCCGCCGAAAGGCGGAUUAAUACCGCAUGUGGCUACCAAAUGCAUAUUUGGGACGCUAAAGGUGGCGCAAGCUACCGCUCCGGGAUGGGCCCGCGGCCUAUCAGCAGUUGGCGGGGUAACGGCCCACCAAGGCUAUGACGGGUAGCUGGUCUGAGAGGACGACCAGCCACACUGGAACUGAGACACGGUCCAGACACCUACGGGUGGCAGCAGUCGAGAAUUUUUCUCAAUGGGGGAAACCCUGAAGGAGCGACGCCGCGUGGAGGAUGAAGGUUUUCGG